GGGGAUUGAAAAGGGACACUUUACCAAUGAACUUUAUCCCCAGCCUUUUUUUUUUUUUUUAAUUCUGAGACAGGUAUUUGCUAUGUUGCUGAGGUUGGCCUUGAACUUGAGAUCCUUCUGCCUCAGUCUUCUGAGUAACUGGGAUUAUAGACAUGUGCCACCUUGCCCAGCUCUGUGAGAUAUAAUGUUACAUUUUGUUUUGGUUCUUGGAACCACUGAGCCAUAUCCUUAGUCUUUAAUUUUAAUUUUUAAGACAGGAUCUGGCUAAAUUGCCCAGAUUGUCCUCAAACUUGCAAUCCUCCUAUCUCACCCUCCUGAGUUGCUUGGCUUACAGGUUUGUGCCACUGGGCCUGGCUAUUGUUAUUUGUUUUGUUUUGAUUUUGGAGACAGGUCUCACACAUUGUUUCUGUUUGUUUUGUUUUGGUACCAGAGGCUCCUGGAGGGUGACAGGCUGUGUCCCACAGAUGCCAGAUGCAGGUGACAUUGCAGGUAUGCCUAGGCCCUCUUUGAAACUCUUCAGAGGGAUUUGUGUGAGCAGUUUGGCUUGACCAAAGAAGUGGAAUACAGAGCUGUAGGAUAAGUUGUUUUGAGGUUAAGAAACAGUUAUCAAAAUGCCAGUGCUAUGCUGGACUAGCCUAAUGGCAGGACUUGUUUGGCCUGGCUAUUAUUUUGAAUUAGCCUUUUGUAUUAUAAAAUCAGAGGAUUUUCCCCACAAGCACUCGGUUUCCUAUUUUUCUAGAAAAAUCAAAGCUGGCAACAGGAUGAUUGGGGCUGUGAACCCUGUCAGUCUGGCUUCAUAGCCUGAGCCCAGCUAAUGUGGGACUGCUCUGCCCAGAGUUAAGAUCCUUCAUAUGGGUCUGAAGAGGCUUUUACACUUAGCACUGGCUGCCUGUUGCUCCACAGGAAGACAAGCCCAGAGUUCUCUGAUUGUUCCACAAAGAAGCAGAAUUUGUAUAUGGAAUAGCACAGCUUUCUUUCUUUCUUUCUUUUUUUUUUUUUGGUUUUUGUUUUUGGUAAAAGUGAUUGAACCUAGGGGUGCCUAACCACUGAGCCACAUCCCCAGCCCUUUUUGUAUUUUAGAGACAGUGUCUCACUGAAUUGCUCAUGCUUUGCCAAAUUGCUGGGGCCGGCUUUGAACUUGAGAUCCUCCUGCCUUAGCCUCCUGAGCAGCCCAGUUGAAAUAGCACAACUUAUUUUCUUUUUUGUGUGUGUAAUUCUGGGAAUUGAACCCAGGGCCUUGUACAUACAAGGCAAGCACUCUACCAACUGAGCUACAUCUCCAGCCAUGAAAUGGCACAAUUUUCUACAAUGUUGUUGCAAACUUGUUUGAAACCAUGCAGGCAAAAUAAAGUACAUCCGUGGGCCAUAUUUGGCCUAUAAACCACCAAAUUGUGGGUUAUAGAAUUUCCCUUUGCACAAGCUGUGGGGAUAAAGGAAACUAUUUUUGCAUGGGCCUGGCCCUGUUCAUCUUGAUUCUCUCUCAUGUUCUUUUCAUUUUUGAAUUUUAUGAUCCCAGAAACCUUGGUAUUUUCUUAAUCUGAAAACAGAAUACCUCAAAUUUCCCCCAUAAUAUUAACUCGGAUUAUUUUCUUUACAUAGAGAUCCACCUGUACUAAUUCUGAGGUUACUCAUCCUCAGGGAGGGAUGUCAAGCAUUUAAAGCAAAAGGAUGGGGCGUAUGGUGAAUGCCUGUAAUUCCAGCAGCUUGGGAGGCUGAGGCAAGAGGAUCACGAAUUCCAAGCUGGCCUCAGCAAGAGGCUCCUGGAGGGUGACAGGCUGUGUCCCACAGAUGCCAGAUGCAGGUGACAUUGCAGGGAGGAAUGUCAAGCAUUUAAAGCAGAAGGAUCGGGUGUAUGGCGAAUGCCUGUAAUUCCAGCAGCUUGGGAGGCUGAGGCAAGAGGAUCACGAAUUCCAAGCUGGCCUCAGCAAGGUGAGGUGCUAAGCAACUUGUUGAGACCCUGUGUUAAAAAAAAAAAAAAAAAAGUAAAAGGUGGGGCGGAAGGGAGGGGGCAUGGGUUAGAAAUGAUGGUGGAAGGUGAUGAUCAUUAUUAUCCAAAGUAUAUGUAUGAAGACAUGAAUUCAUGUAAAUAUACUUUGUAUACAACCAGAGAUAGGAAAAAUUGUGCUCUAUAUGUGUAAUAAUUGUAAUGCAUUCCACUGUCAUAUAUAAAUAAAAAAAAAUUUAAAAAAAACACCAAAAAAUGAAGCCCAUCUAGGGAUGUGUUUCAGUGGUUGAGUGCCCCUGAGUCCAAUGCUUGGAACAACAACAACAAAAAAAGGCAGAAGGAAAAGGGACCCAAUGCGUCCCCUGAACAUCUCUUCUUUGCUGUGUGAUUUUUUUGUUUGUUUUUGCUGUGCUUGGGUUUGAUGGCACCCAGGGCCUUGUCCAGCACAUUCUAGGCAAACCCUCUACUGCUGAGCUAUUCCUCUAACACUGCCCCCCACCUUUUUUUUUUUUUUUUUCUUUUGACGAAAUACUUGCCUUUCAAGGGUUUUAGGACCAAUUGCCUCAUUCUUUUGGAAGGGUUGCUGGUGGCUGAGUAUGAAGAUUUCUUACUGGGGACAAGGGCGGAUGCAGUGGCAUUGUGUGGGACAUUGUGGACUGUCAUGUGAGGGUGCAGGGUAGAAGCUGAGUGGCUCAGAUCCCUCCUACCUGUCCUGUGUCCUCUGGUUGCCCUACAAGGAUGGCGCCCUGAAAGUCCCUUCUGAAAGUCCCUUCUGAAAGUCCCUUGGCUAAUUCUCCCCUCUCCCUUGUUCAGAGGUUUGGACACCAGGUAACCAAAUCCAAGACGGUGCAUCUUUAGCAGUCAUAAAGCCACCAGUCAUGAUGCUGCCAUCUUCUGUCCCACCUAGGGACCUUAUCUCUUGCUGCUAUCAUUUUUUUUUUUUUUUUUUUUUGGUGUGUGUGUGGUGCUGGGGAUUGAACUCAGGGCCUUGUGCAUGCAAGGCAAAGCACUCGGCCAACUGAGCUGUAUCCCCAGCCCUCUUGCAGCUGCCUUUACUUUCCAUGGAUUUCCCUGAGCGGCUCCCCAUAGUCACCUUCUCAGAGGGGCUUUCCCUUGAUUGAAUUAGUCCUCCUCCCAACUCCACCGCCUCUCAAUCUCAGACCUGCUUGAUUGUCUUCUAGGAAACGGUACUACCGUCCUUUCCUCUAGAUUGUAGGCUCCCCGUCCCCACGUUCCAGAAAUCUCCCCACCCCUGCCACCCGACCAGCGCAGUCCCGCUUAGCAAAGCGCUUGCACCCUACCCCACGCUGGCUUGGGUCGCAGGGCGCAGGGAUCCCCUAAGGCAGAUGCCUCCAAGACGCCUCGGUGCUGGCGGCAAAGGGGCGCCACUGCUCCUCCCGGGCGCAAACUCCCGCACUGCAUAGUACUGAGUGUGCUUUACUCCUUACUCAUAAGGGCAGGAACAGAUCAAGUAAGAGGGCGUGGUCGUGGGAUAGGUGGAGCCUUGCUCCAGGAAGUCGUUUGGUGGACGGGGUCUGAAGGGAGAUGCCAGUGGGAGGGUUGAGCAUAUUCCAGGUUAGGGGCAUGACUUGUGGUGGGCGGGUCCUGUGUGCUGACCAACAUCCCCGCGAACUACAAAUUGGUGAGGUUGCCUCGGAGCUCCUGCGCAUCCUCCAAAGCCUUGAACAGCGAGUUGAAGUUG